AGGCCCGCCAGCUACCACGUGGAGUGUAUACUCUCUAUCUCUACGACGGUCGUUCUACCGGGCCAAGAAGC
rnacentral:snoRNA from 30 species